AAGUAGCUCGUCUGUCAUGGUCUACAAAUAUCGCGAAUAAAACUUUCACGAUUUGUGAUAAAAGAAAAACGCAUUGAUAAAAAUACCAAUUUAUUCAUUUUAUCAAAACGAAAAAAAAAAUAGUAACGUGUGGAGUCCAAUGACCACCUGAGUUCAAAGCGCGUGCAUUUUGAAGCACGCGCACGACAUCGCUUCAGAGUCCACACUUCAGUCGAGGUGUAGGUAAAAUGUCAUCCCAAACGACUUUUAGUAUUCUAUCAAGUGGCGCAAUAAAUGCAUUAAAAAGAAUAAUUAUGUAAGAAUAAGACAAAAUUCGAACGAAACAUUUUCUCAUACUAACCUAUAUCGGUUUGGCUCGUGGACACUUUUUUUCUCACAACAUUGUAGAACUCAAAUGGAUAAAAGUUGGUUUAUUGGAAUGUACAUAAACACUCAUGAACUUGAAAUUUACCCAGAAACACCGCGGUGAAGAUUAAAAAAAAUAUUCGAGAAAGAAAGGUCAGGUGCGUAGAAAAUGUAAUUCCAUUUCGGAGCAAUUCCGCAGACCACCACUAGAGUGUCGCCAGUGAGCAACACAUGACGUCAGUUUCGCAUGGCGUGACCCAUAUUAUGAAUAAUCCACGAGUAGGCGGUACACACCAAAUACUUUGAAUACAAGAAGCGGAGGCAGGGGGGCUUCCCCACACCCACCCACAAGGAGCAUCAGAAAAGGAAAGCAUGUGCCAGUUGUUGCGCACCCAGCCUUGGCCGCCGCCAAUCGGGGGCGCGUUCUCUCGUACGCCGCCGCCGCCGCCGCCCGACUGCGCGGCUCGGGCGCUCGGGACGCGCCUGCGAGUGAUCGGGGACCAGCUGGACAAGCGUCGCAGGGAGAUGGCCAGCGAAGACGGCGAAGACUUGACGUCCGCGCGCACUGUCGCGCGCGUAGGCGUGUGCGCGCUGCUGUUGUUGCUCUUCACGAGACGACAGUAACAAGGCACCAUGCGACCGCAGACAAAAGACGAGGAUGACGAGCGUGUAACUCAACCUAGAGGAGAGUCUACGUGAUGAGGAAUGAACACGCCUUGCGCCUCUUCUUUCUCCUCAGCCACAUGCAGUGAUGUCAUCCUCCCCCCGCUGAUUAAUUAGUAGAUUUGGAAGUGAGCGGAGGUGGUCCCGUCCUUCCAGCAUCGGAGUGUCUCCACGACGAUGGCGCGACAAAGAGGGCACGCCCUCUCUCGGUCCAACCAGGAACUAAGACACUCCUCGCAGAAAACAUGCUGGCGAUGAACAAAAAGUCACCCAUCGCGAUUUACAGACAUAUUUCUUUAUUUAAACACAUCUGGCGUCUUAUCGUACCUGACAAAGGAGGGCGACGGGCUCGCGAAAAUCCGCCUGGCAAAUAGCGCAGACGUCGCCGGCCUCGCUGCACUGCUGGCCGCCGGCCCGCACGCCGUAACUCUGCAAAAACAGCGGUCGGCGGGAACACGCUUUUCAUAAAAUGCCAAUUUGCUUUUGCGCAAGACUCAAAAGUGAGUGAUUGAAAAUGUAGGUUUUUUUUGUGCCAAGUGUAAUUUUUCAAAAUAAUUUUUGGUGGGGUGCGCAAUGCCAGUCGCUAUAAAAAUGGGAUUUCUCCCAAAGUGUACUUUUCAUUGACAGAAUUAAAAGAGGGCAAUUUUUUUAUUAAUUCAAUAACAGCAUAAUUGCUCCUCAUUAAUCCGUGACCUUUGAUAUGAAGCGGGGUGUAAACAACAGCUACAAGUCAUAAAGCGCUCAUGAAGCAUCGUCAAUCAAUCACUUUUGACAUUGAGGAGGUGAACCCAAGUCAAACAACGGCUUGCAAAUCCGUAAAAUGUCAUCAAUCAUCGUUCAUUUGUGACCUUUUGACCCCUAAUGUCAUUAAGGAGGUCAUGCAUUGACCUUUGCUACAUUUUUUUUAUAAUCUCACUAACAUGUAAGGCCAAUUGCUGUAAAUUCUAUU